CGUGAACUAUCGAGUCUUUAAAUGCAAGUUGUGCUCGAAGCCCUCGUGGUUAGAGCACGUCUGUCUGGGCGUCACGC
rnacentral:rRNA from 1 species